AAAGUGAAAGUCCUCGGGAGGCCCGGAGACGCGGAGACGACGGUGUGCGUCCGCCAAAGCCGAGCCGAAGCAGUCGACCUUGUUGAGGGGGAAGCUUGCGGCGCGGGGUCGCCCGCAUCCCCCCUCCCCCCAGACGGCGGAACCGGUCAAUGGCGCCAGGCGACGCCUCAGAGCGCCUAGAGGGGUUGCGUUUCCUCCUAGGCUCCUGGUCAUUUGCGAAAUCUCCCAAAGGCUUCGGAUUGAAAUCUGACCCUUCCCGGUCCUUUGCUACCUGAGCCCUGAGGGUGGCCUCGAUUUCCCUGGGUUAAAGGUAAAAAGAGAAUUGGCUGAUUGAAGCCCUGAAGCUACCUGGGUUACCUGUCAGGAUUGUUGACGCCAGGCACAGUGAUUCAGACCCUCUAAGGAUGAACCCAGGGCACUGGCGUUGAGCAGUUCGGGAUUCGAGUAUUGGUUCUGUCUUCUAGCUGUGAUUUGUUUUUAUUUAUUAUUGACACAAGGUCUUGCUAAGUUGCCUAGGCUGGCCUCAAACUUGUGUAUUCAAGUGAGCCAGGGAAGUGGGUUAGGAUGUGGCACGGGAACCUGUUGUGUAACUUUUCGGAAUAUUCUGAUGAUUGCCACGAGUGUUUCUACAAACAGUAGAUGCAGGGGUCACCGAAUAGAGGUAGGAACCUGUCUCCCGUGUGUCCAAGACCUAAGCCCCUCAGAGUAUCAUUCAGCUGUCAUGGUCCCCCAGAACCAGUGCAGUGCCGCCUAGGACAGGGCAGUCUAGAUUUUAUGGUAAAUGAAACAUGGCCUGGGGUCUGAGUCCUUUAGAAGUGAAGAUACAAGGCCAUCUCCUAGGCUACUGCAAGUCCAAUCCUGCUUCUAGCGGAGAGAAAAUAUCUUGCUGGGACCUUAAGUUGGGUAUUUAAACCUCCAUUCUUAGGUUAAUUGUUUCCGAUCCCAGAAGAGAAGUUGGAAACUCUUCCCUGGGUUGUACCCACUUGCCUGGGCGGGAGGAGAACAAACCCCUCUGCUCACUGCACGGCCUUCGACUUUUCACUAUUACAUCCACGCCCCCAGGACAUUCUUUUGUGCUCUUAUUUAAAGGAAAUUAAGUCAUCUUCCUCCUACCCUGGGCCUUUGCACAUGCAAAUUCUGUCUGAAGUCGCUGCCCCAAGGUUUGGGUUUUGUUUUGUUUUGUUAAGACAGGGUCUCUACUUCGUGUAGAAGCUCUGGUUGUUUUGGAACUUACUGUAUAAACCAGCUUGCCUCAAACUCACAGAAACACUCCUGCCUCUGCCUCCCAAGUGCUGAGAUUAAAAGUUUGCACCACCACACCUGGCUACUUUUUUUUUUUCAUUUUUGACACAGUUUUAUGUAACCCAGACUGGCCUCAAACUAAAGUGAUAACUAAGGAUGGCCUUUUAACUUCACCAGGUGCCAGGACUAUGCCCAAGAAAGUUUGUAAUUAUUUUGAACCUAGCUCAAACAUCACUUCCUAUGGGAAACAUUCUUGGCUACACACCUACCUCACCAACAGUGUCUCCUCUGGAGCAUGUGUUCAUGGAAUGUUUGUUUCCUUGAGUAGUUUCAGUUUGAUAGUUCAUGGUCCUUCUUAGAGCUGUUUUGCUUUUUGGUACAAUAAAAGUGAUCUUUGAUAUAUGUAUUUAUGAGCAUUAAGAACAGAUGCACUGAAGAAUCAGCACAGUUCCAUCACCCACAGCAGUUUCACCAACCCUCAAAAGACUACCUGGGUGUGUCCCUUUGUGGUCACACGUUGCUCCAUCCUUAAUCCCUGGUAGCCACUGAUAUGUUCUCAAUCGCAAUAAUAGUGUCUUUUCUAGAAUGCCAUAUAAAUAAAGCCAAACAACAUAUAAAUACUUCACAGCAUAAUGCCUUUAAAAUUUAUCCAUGUUGCAUAUAUUGAUAGCUCAUUCCCUGCUACUGACAAAUAGCUUCCUGGUACAUAAGUAUAUAAUAGUUUGCCUACCAUGAACCUAUGGGACAUUUGGACUGGAAAUAGAGCUGCAAUAGAUGUUCAUACACACAUUUGUGUGUGAGCAUAGCUCUUACAGCCCUAGGGUAAAUAGAGAUUUCUAGGGCCAUAUGGUCAUUGUACAUUAAAUUAAAAUUUAAACUACUAAGCCUUUUAUUUUGUUUUUGAAACAGAGCCUCCACAUAACCCUAGCUAUCCUGGAACUGACAGAUACCCACCUGCCUUAGCAUCCCAGGUGUAGAGAUUAAAGGCAUGCACCGCCACACACAGCUCUACCAAGCCAUUGUACAAAGUAGAUUUCGCAGUUUUGCAUCUCUAGCAUGUGUAUUCAUGAGUCUCCAGUUGCUUUACAGCGUCAGUACGUAAGUUAUCAUUUUUACUUUAAUCAUUCUACUAGGUGUGCUGUGCUGUCCCAUCACAUCUGGAUUGGAUUGGGUGGAGAAAAGGUCUCACUAUAACCCACACUGGUCUAGAACUGACUAAAGCAACUCCAGCUGGCCUUAGACUCAAGGCAUGUCUCCUGCCUCAGCUUCCCAAGUGUUAGGAUUCCAGCUUUGAGCCUCUAUGCCCACCUUUCUCAUUACAACAUAACUCACAUUUCUCCUAUAACAACGCCCCGUCUCUUUAGACAUGUGCAGUCUCUAUUCAAGUCUUUAGCACAUUUUUAACUGGGUUAUUAUUAACUUUCUAUCAAGACUUGAGGGUUUGUUUUUUUAAAAAACAAACAAACAAACCAAAAAAACAAACAUAUUCUAGAUACAGUUCCUUAGACAUGUGAUUUGCAAAGAUUUCUCAAGCCGGCCCCCUUACUUUUUCAACUCUUUAACAACAUGUCUUCCACUGGGGGUGGGGAGGAAUGGUUUUUAACUUGAGUGAAGUCUGAUGUUUCAGUUUUAUCUCUGUGAAUCAUGCCUUUGGUGUCACAGCUGAGUACUCUCUAACCCAAGUCAUUAAGGUCUUGUUUCUGCCAGGCCUGGGUGACACAGAUCUGUAGUCCAGCUAAUGUGGAGGCUAAGCAAGGAGGAUCAAAAGCUCAAGGACUGCCUGGGCAACUUAGCAAGACCCUGUCUUAGAUGAUGAAAACUAAAGGGCUGGGAACAGACCACAGUGGUAGAAGGCACUCCUGGUUCAGCUGUGAGCCGUUCAAGGCUCAGUUCUGGGAAGUCUGCUUUCUUCCAAACGAUGGAUACUUUUAAAUUAUGUAAUUAACAAAUAUUUAUAAUUGU
rnacentral:lncRNA from 1 species